rnacentral:lncRNA from 1 species
GCUUCCAUGUCCUAAAAGAGUUUUAUCUUUGGAGUGUGGAGUUUGUUUGUGCGAUAACAUAUAGUUGGCGUCCCAUGGGAUGGGAUGCCUCCUUUUCUUGUUUAUCCAUUUGUUCCAUGCUAAAAUUAUUAUGGGGCAUGGACAUUUGAGGGUGCAUGAAGAGUCUUUUUGAGGAUUAAUCACUUCAUUGGUUAUCGGAGGA